rfam:Potato mop-top virus complete genomic RNA2 for tgbp1 gene, tgbp2 gene, tgbp3 gene and 8K protein gene
GAAGAGCGGCCAGUUGCUGCUGCGAUCAAGACACGAUCGUUCAAAAGGGUGCAACUCCCCCCCCCUUGGAGGGUAUCCAAGACC